UUAAGCGACUAAGCGUACACGGUGGAUGCCCUGGCAGUCAGAGGCGAUGAAGGACGUGCUAAUCUGCGAAAAGCGUCGGUAAGGUGAUAUGAACCGUUAUAACCGGCGAUGUCCGAAUGGGGAAACCCAGUGCAAUUCGUUGCACUAUCGUUAACUGAAUACAUAGGUUAACGAGGCGAACCGGGGGAACUGAAACAUCUAAGUACCCCGAGGAAAAGAAAUCAACCGAGAUUCCCCCAGUAGCGGCGAGCGAACGGGGAGCAGCCCAGAGUCUGAAUCAGCUUGUGUGUUAGUGGAACGGUCUGGAAAGUCCGACGGUACAGGGUGAUAGUCCCGUACACCAAAAUGCACAGGUUGUGAACUCGAAGAGUAGGGCGGGACACGUGGUAUCCUGUCUGAAUAUGGGGGGACCAUCCUCCAAGGCUAAAUACUCCUGACUGACCGAUAGUGAACCAGUACCGUGAGGGAAAGGCGAAAAGAACCCCGGCGAGGGGAGUGAAAAAGAACCUGAAACCGUGUACGUACAAGCAGUGGGAGCACCUUCGGGUGUGACUGCGUACCUUUUGUAUAAUGGGUCAGCGACUUAUAUUCUGUAGCAAGGUUAACCGUAUAGGGGAGCCGCAGGGAAACCGAGUCUUAACUGGGCGUUAAGUUGCAGGGUAUAGACCCGAAACCCGGUGAUCUAGCCAUGGGCAGGUUGAAGGUUGGGUAACACUAACUGGAGGACCGAACCGACUAAUGUUGAAAAAUUAGCGGAUGACUUGUGGCUGGGGGUGAAAGGCCAAUCAAACCGGGAGAUAGCUGGUUCUCCCCGAAAGCUAUUUAGGUAGCGCCUCGUGAAUUCAUCUUCGGGGGUAGAGCACUGUUUCGGCUAGGGGGUCAUCCCGACUUACCAACCCGAUGCAAACUACGAAUACCGAAGAAUGUUAUCACGGGAGACACACGGCGGGUGCUAACGUCCGUCGUGAAGAGGGAAACAACCCAGACCGCCAGCUAAGGUCCCAAAGUCAUGGUUAAGUGGGAAACGAUGUGGGAAGGCACAGACAGCCAGGAUGUUGGCUUAGAAGCAGCCAUCAUUUAAAGAAAGCGUAAUAGCUCACUGGUCGAGUCGGCCUGCGCGGAAGAUGUAACGGGGCUAAACCAUGCACCGAAGCUGCGGCAGCGACACUAUGUGUUGUUGGGUAGGGGAGCGUUCUGUAAGCCUGCGAAGGUGUGCUGUGAGGCAUGCUGGAGGUAUCAGAAGUGCGAAUGCUGACAUAAGUAACGAUAAAGCGGGUGAAAAGCCCGCUCGCCGGAAGACCAAGGGUUCCUGUCCAACGUUAAUCGGGGCAGGGUGAGUCGACCCCUAAGGCGAGGCCGAAAGGCGUAGUCGAUGGGAAACAGGUUAAUAUUCCUGUACUUGGUGUUACUGCGAAGGGGGGACGGAGAAGGCUAUGUUAGCCGGGCGACGGUUGUCCCGGUUUAAGCAUGUAGGCUGGUUAUCCAGGCAAAUCCGGAUAAUCAAGGCUGAGGUGUGAUGACGAGGCACUACGGUGCUGAAGUAACAAAUGCCCUGCUUCCAGGAAAAGCCUCUAAGCAUCAGGUAACAUCAAAUCGUACCCCAAACCGACACAGGUGGUCAGGUAGAGAAUACCAAGGCGCUUGAGAGAACUCGGGUGAAGGAACUAGGCAAAAUGGUGCCGUAACUUCGGGAGAAGGCACGCUGGUGUGUAGGUGAAGUCCCUGCGGAUGGAGCUGAGACCAGUCGAAGAUACCAGCUGGCUGCAACUGUUUAUUAAAAACACAGCACUGUGCAAACACGAAAGUGGACGUAUACGGUGUGACGCCUGCCCGGUGCCGGAAGGUUAAUUGAUGGGGUUAUCCGUAAGGAGAAGCUCUUGAUCGAAGCCCCGGUAAACGGCGGCCGUAACUAUAACGGUCCUAAGGUAGCGAAAUUCCUUGUCGGGUAAGUUCCGACCUGCACGAAUGGCGUAAUGAUGGCCAGGCUGUCUCCACCCGAGACUCAGUGAAAUUGAACUCGCUGUGAAGAUGCAGUGUACCCGCGGCAAGACGGAAAGACCCCGUGAACCUUUACUAUAGCUUGACACUGAACAUUGAGCCUUGAUGUGUAGGAUAGGUGGGAGGCUUUGAAGCGUGGACGCCAGUCUGCGUGGAGCCAACCUUGAAAUACCACCCUUUAAUGUUUGAUGUUCUAACGUUGGCCCCUUACCGGGGUUGCGGACAGUGUCUGGUGGGUAGUUUGACUGGGGCGGUCUCCUCCCAAAGCGUAACGGAGGAGCACGAAGGUUAGCUAAUCCUGGUCGGACAUCAGGAGGUUAGUGCAAUGGCAUAAGCUAGCUUGACUGCGAGCGUGACGGCGCGAGCAGGUGCGAAAGCAGGUCAUAGUGAUCCGGUGGUUCUGAAUGGAAGGGCCAUCGCUCAACGGAUAAAAGGUACUCCGGGGAUAACAGGCUGAUACCGCCCAAGAGUUCAUAUCGACGGCGGUGUUUGGCACCUCGAUGUCGGCUCAUCACAUCCUGGGGCUGAAGUAGGUCCCAAGGGUAUGGCUGUUCGCCAUUUAAAGUGGUACGCGAGCUGGGUUUAGAACGUCGUGAGACAGUUCGGUCCCUAUCUGCCGUGGGCGCUGGAGAAUUGAGGGGGGCUGCUCCUAGUACGAGAGGACCGGAGUGGACGCAUCACUGGUGUUCGGGUUGUCAUGCCAAUGGCACUGCCCGGUAGCUAAAUGCGGAAGAGAUAAGUGCUGAAAGCAUCUAAGCACGAAACUUGCCCCGAGAUGAGUUCUCCCUGAGACUUUAAGUCUCCUGAAGGAACGUUAAAGACGAUGACGUUGAUAGGCCGGGUGUGUAAGCGCAGCGAUGCGUUGAGCUAACCGGUACUAAUGAACCGUGAGGCUUAACCUU
rnacentral:rRNA from 1 species